ensembl:lncRNA
GUGGUGUAGGGGGGUGUGGAGGUGGUGUAGGGGGGUGUGGAGGUGUGUAGUGGUGUGUGGAGGUGGUGUAGUGGUGUGUGGAGGUGGUGUAGUGGUGUGUGGUGGUGUGUGGAGGUGGUGUAGUGGUGUGUGGAGGUGGUGUAGUGGUGUGUGGAGGUGGUGUAGUGGUGUGGAGGUGGUGUAGUGGUGUGUGGAGGUGGUGUAGUGGUGUGUGGAGGUGGUGUAGUGGUGUGUGGAGGUGGUGUAGUGGUGUGUGGAGGCGUGUAGUGGUGUGUGGAGGUGGUGUAGUGGGGUGUAGUGGUGUGUGGAGGUGUGUAGUGGGGUGUAGUGGUGUGUGGAGGUGUGUAGUGGUGUGUGGAGGUGGGGUGUGGAGGUGGUGUAGUGGUGUGUGGAGGUGUGUGGAGGUGGUGUAGUGGGGUGUGGAGGCGUGUGGAGGUGUUGUAGUGGGGUGUGGAGGUGGUGUAGUGGUGUGUGGAGGCGUGUGGAGGGGUGUGGAGGUGGUGUAGUGGGGUGUGGAGGUGGUGUAGUGGUGUGUGGAGGUGUGUAGUGGUGUGUGGAGGUGGUGUAGUGGGGUGUGGAGGUGUGUAGUGGUGUGUGGAGGUGGUGUAGUGGUGUAGUGGUGUGUGGAGGUGUGUAGUGGGGUGUAGUGGUGUGUGGAGGUGUGUAGUGGUGUGUGGUGGUGUGUGGAGGUGUGUAGUGGUGUGUGGAGGUGGUGUAGUGGGGUGUGGAGGCGUGUGGAGGUGGUGUAGUGGUGUGUGGAGGUGGUGUAGUGGUGUGUGGAGGUGUGUGGUGGUGUGUGGAGGUGUGUAGUGGUGUGUGGAGGUGGUGUAGUGGUGUGUGGAGGUGUGUAGUGGUGUGUGGAGGUGGUGUAGUGGUGUGUGGAGGCGUUGUAGUGGGGUGUGGAGGUGGUGUAGUGGGGUGUGGAGGGGGUGUAGUGGGGUGUGGAGGUGUGUAGUGGUGUGUGGAGGUGGUGUAGUGGGGUGUGGAGGUGGUGUAGUGGUGUGUGGAGGUGUGUAGUGGUGUGUGGAGGUGGUGGAGUGGGGUGUGGAGGCGUGUGGAGGUGUUGUAGUGGGGUGUGGAGGUGGUGUAGUGGGGUGUGGAGGGGGUGUAGUGGGGUGUGGAGGUGUGUAGUGGUGUGUGGAGGUGGUGUAGUGGUGUGUGGAGGUGUGUAGUGGUGUGUGGAGGUGGUGUAGUGGUGUGUGGAGGCGUGUGGAGGUGGUGUAGUGGUGUGUGGAGGCGUG